AUUAAAACGCUGGCGGCAUGCCUUACACAUGCAAGUCGAACGGCAGCACGGGGUGGUAACACUCUGGUGGCGAGUGGCGGACGGGUGAGUAAAGCAUCGGAACGUGCCCUGGAAUGGGGGAUAACGUAGCGAAAGUUACGCUAAUACCGCAUAUUCUGUGAGCAGGAAAGCAGGGGGAUCGCAAGACCUUGCGUUCGAGGAGCGGCCGAUGUCGGAUUAGCUAGUUGGUGGGGUAAAGGCCUACCAAGGCGACGAUCCGUAGCGGGUCUGAGAGGAUGAUCCGCCACACUGGGACUGAGACACGGCCCAGACUCCUACGGGAGGCAGCAGUGGGGAAUUUUGGACAAUGGGCGCAAGCCUGAUCCAGCCAUGCCGCGUGAGUGAAGAAGGCCU
rnacentral:rRNA from 1 species